AAAUGUCUCUAUUUGACUGUGAUUAUUAUGUGUGUUGUUAGAUGUGGGUAUGGUUCUGGGAAAAUGUGUGGAUUGCCUCCAUACGGUGCAUAGCUGUGCAGGAUUCAUGUGGAUUUAUGUGACGUGGCUACGGUGCAGGGAGUAGGUGGUGCAAUGCCGGCGACCCGACACAUUGUGAAUUACCAGGGGUUGUGCGGGGUGCGCCAGGUUCCUGUGGUGUCCUUCCAAGCUGGGAAGGUUUAGGAUGCAAUGUGGGUGUCCAGUGACGGGAGGUACCGCGUAAGUUGAUUUAUGUUUUGUGAAUGUCUUUGAUGAAGUUCAGGGUCAGUUGUUUUCAUUCUGUGUGAUUCAUGAUAGCUGUCUGUCACUUGUAGUGUGUUCCUUGAAAUAUUUUGUGUUGUGUUUCGUUGUCGGCUGCUCACGAUACGAGGCACAUGUCAGCACCAGGUGGUUUGCUGGGGAAAUUAUUCCAACUGGCACUUGCAGCUUGAAACGCUUUGGGAAUUCAAUUUCAGACGCCCUGCCCGGUUUAUCAUUGGUCAUCCUACACUACUACUUGAUGCUACUACUACUAUUAUUUACUGCUACUACUAAUACUUCAUGCUGCUACUACUACUAUUUGCUACUACUACUACUACUACUACUACUACUACUACUACUACUACUACUACUUGCUACUUGUACUACUUGCUUCUACUACUUGCUGCUGCUACUACUACUACUACUACUACUACUACUACUACUACUACUACUACUACUACUACAACCACCACCACCACCACCACCAGCACCAGUCCCACUAGGAAAUCACAAUGACGAGGGCAGCCAGGGAUGUACGUCUCCGUGCUCCCUCUCGACUGCCGCCGUCCAUGCCACGCGGUGCCUGGCCGCCGCCUCAUCACACUGCUGAACUCAAAGAAGAAUAGGUGGAGAUGAGAUGAUGACAGGAAUAAGCAGUAGGAGGAAGCAAGGAGGAAGAAAUUGAAUCAAUAUCUCUUUGCUUCUAAAAUCCAAAACAUUUUACCUUAUCCUCUUCCUCCUCUUCCUCCUCAUCCUCCUCCUUCUCCUCCUUCUCCUCCUCCUCCUCUAAAGACCUGGUAGAUGUGGAGCUGUUUGAUAUAGAAGAGGUAUCCCUAUUUCUCCAAGCCAUAGAAAAUGUACUUCACGAUCUGAACAUUAUCUGCUGUCUGUUUAAUGGUGAACUCUCGUAUCCCAGCUAAUUUUAUCAGAGAGAGAGAGAGAGAGAGAGAGAGAGAGAGAGAGAGAGAGAGAGAGAGAGAGAGAGAGAGAGAGAGAGAGAGAGAGAGAGAGAGAGAGAGAGAGAGAAUGUUAUAGGUUUAUAUUAUACAUGAUUAUUUUUAAAGUUAUUUAUAAUUGCUAUUGUUCUUGUUGUUGUUGUUGUUUUUGUUGUUGUUCUUUAAUUAAAGGUUGUGGCUAUU